CCGCCCGUCACACCAUGAGAGCUGACUGUACCAGAAGUCGCUGGGCCAACCCGCAAGGGAGGCAGGCGCCUAAGGUAUGGUUGGUGAUUGGGGUG
rnacentral:rRNA from 1 species